UACGUAGGGCGCAAGCGUUGUCCGGAAUUAUUGGGCGUAAAGAGCUCGUAGGCGGCCUGUUGCGUCCGCUGUGAAAUCCCGGGGCUUAACCCCGGGCGUGCAGUCGAUACGGGCAGGCUAGAGUUCGGCAGGGGAGACUGGAAUUCCUGGUGUAGCGGUGAAAUGCGCAGAUAUCAGGAGGAACACCGGUGGCGAAGGCGGGUCUCUGGGCCGAUACUGACACUGAGGAGCGAAAGCGUGGGGAGCGAACAGG
rnacentral:rRNA from 1 species